rnacentral:rRNA from 1 species
UUUUAUUAUUAGUUUAGAUUUAUUAAUCUUUAAUUAAUUUAUUAAUAUACUUUAUUGAAUAUACAUUUAUAGGUGAUUAUGAUUAAAUUAGUAUAAAUUUUUGUGAGAUUAAUUAAACUUUUAAGUUAAAAUUAAGGAAUUCGGCAAAUUUGUUUUCUGCCUGUUUAUUAAAAACAUGUCUUUUAGUAAUUAUUUAAAGUCAGGCCUGCCCUAUGAUUAUUUAAAUGGCCGCGGUAUUUUGACCGUGCAAAGGUAGCAUAAUAAUUAGUUUCUUAAUUGGGAGCUGGUAUGAAUGGUUUGACAAGAAAACUUCUGUCUCUAUUUUAUUAUUAGAAUUUAACUUUUGAGUCAAAAGGCUUAAAUGUUUUUAAAAGACGAGAAGACCCUAUAGAAUUUUAUAUUUAAUUUAAUUAAAAUUUUAUAGAUUAUUUAUUUUUAAUAAAUUUAAUUAUUUUGUUGGGGUGACGGAAAAACUUAAAUAACUUUUUCUUAUUACAUUCAUUGAUCUAUGA